rnacentral:rRNA from 1 species
UUGCUGGAUGCUGACGAGCGGCGGACGGGUGAGUAAUGCAUAGGAAUCUGCCCGAUAGUGGGGGAUAACCUGGGGAAACCCAGGCUAAUACCGCAUACGUCCUACGGGAGAAAGGGGGCUCCGGCUCCCGCUAUGGGAUGAGCCUAUGUCGGAUUAGCUAGUUGGUGAGGUAACGGCUCACCAAGGCCACGAUCCGUAGCUGGUCUGAGAGGAUGAUCAGCCACAUCGGGACUGAGACACGGCCCGAACUCCUACGGGAGGCAGCAGUGGGGAAUAUUGGACAAUGGGGGAAACCCUGAUCCAGCCAUGCCGCGUGUGUGAAGAAGGCCCUCGGGUUGUAAAGCACUUUCAGCGAGGAAGAACGCCUAACGGUUAAUACCCGCUAGGAAAGACAUCACUCGCAGAAGAAGCACCGGCUAACUCCGUGCCAGCAGCCGCGGUAAUACGGAGGGUGCAAGCGUUAAUCGGAAUUACUGGGCGUAAAGCGCGCGUAGGUGGCUUGAUAAGCCGGUUGUGAAAGCCCCGGGCUCAACCUGGGAACGGCAUCCGGAACUGUCAAGCUAGAGUGCAGGAGAGGAAGGUAGAAUUCCCGGUGUAGCGGUGAAAUGCGUAGAGAUCGGGAGGAAUACCAGUGGCGAAGGCGGCCUUCUGGACUGACACUGACACUGAGGUGCGAAAGCGUGGGUAGCAAACAGGAUUGAGAUACCCUGGUAGUCCACGCCGUAAACGAUGUCGACCAGCCGUUGGGUGCCUAGCGCAC